rnacentral:rRNA from 1 species
GAUGAACGCUGGCGGCGUGCCUAACACAUGCAAGUCGAGCGAACAGACGGGGCUUGUUCCUCUCUCGCUAUAGCCGCGGGCGUGUGAGAAACGCGUGUAUCCCCUCUCUAUAAGUCUGGUAUCACUGGGGAAAACCGGCUCUAAUACGAGAUAAUAUAUUAAACCGUGGGGUUAAAGAGAAAAAGGGGUUUUUGCUGUCACUUAUAGAUAGAUCCGCGGCGUAUUAGCUAGUUGGUAAGGUAACGGCUUACCAAGGCAACGAUGCGUAGCCGACCUGAGAGGGUGAUCGGCCACACUGGAACUGAGACACGGUCCAGACUCCUACGGGAGGCAGCAGUAGGGAAUCUUCCGCAAUGGGCGAAAGCCUGACGGAGCAACGCCGCGUGAGUGAUGAAGGUCUUCGGAUCGUAAAACUCUGUUAUUAGGGAAGAACAAAUGUGUAAGUAACUAUGCACGUCUUGACGGUACCUAAUCAGAAAGCCACGGCUAACUACGUG